UUCGCCCUUUUCCGGUUGAUCCCGCCGGACCUGACUGCUAUCGGAUUGAUACUAAGCCAUGCGAGUCAUUGUAGCAAUACAAGGCAGACGGCUCAGUAACGCGUAGUCAACCUAACCUAUGGACGGGAAUAACCUCGGGAAACUGAGAAUAAUGCCCGAUAGAACACUAUACCUGGAAUGGUUUGUGUUCCAAAUGAUUUAUCGCCGUAGGAUGGGACUGCGGCCUAUCAGUUUGUUGGUGAGGUAAUGGCCCACCAAGACUAUUACGGGUACGGGCUCUGAGAGGAGUAGCCCGGAGAUGGGUACUGAGACACGGACCCAGGCCCUAUGGGGCGCAGCAGGCGAGAAAACUUUGCAAUGUGCGAAAGCACGACAAGGUUAAUCCGAGUGAUUUGUGCUAAACGAAUCUUUUGUUAGUCCUAGAACCACUAACGAAUAAGGGGUGGGCAAGUUCUGGUGUCAGCCGCCGCGGUAAAACCAGCACCUCAAGUGGUCAGGAUGAUUAUUGGGCCUAAAGCAUCCGUAGCCGGCUCUGUAAGUUUUCGGUUAAAUCUGUACGCUUAACGUACAGGCUGCCGGGAAUACUGCAGAGCUAG
rnacentral:rRNA from 1 species